AUUGAACGCUGGCGGCAUGCCUUACACAUGCAAGUCGAACGGUAACAGGUUAAGCUGACGAGUGGCGAACGGGUGAGUAAUAUAUCGGAACGUGCCCAGUCGUGGGGGAUAACUGCUCGAAAGAGCAGCUAAUACCGCAUACGACCUGAGGGUGAAAGCGGGGGAUCGCAAGACCUCGCGCGAUUGGAGCGGCCGAUAUAAGAUUAGGUAGUUGGUGGGGUAAAAGCCUACCAAGCCAACGAGCUGUAGCUGGUCUGAGAGGACGACCAGCCACACGGGGACUGAGACACGGCCCAGACUCCUACAGGAGGCAACAGUGGGGAAUUUUGGACAAUGGACGCAAGUCUGAUCCAGCCAUGCCGCGUGCGGGAAGAAGGCCUUCGGGUUGUAAACCGCUUUUGUCAGGGAAGGAAUGCUCUGGGUUAAUACCUCGGGGUAAUGACGGUACCUGAAGAAUAAGCACCGGCUAACUACGUGCCAGCCGCCGCCGUAACAC
rnacentral:rRNA from 1 species